GCUGACGUAUUAAAAAUACACUGUAUGUGCUGGUGUACAUCUAAUAAGUUAUGGGUAAGUUUUGUAUAAGUUAAGAGUACGUUGAAGCACGCUGGUAUACGUAAUGGGCUGGGCAACUUGCAAAAUUUU